AUGUCUGACUCUGGGGGUUGGUGCUCAUCUCCAUUUCUAAGCCGAAGAGCCGGCAUUGUCCGUAGACACCUCCAAGGUCAUAUGGCCGGCAUGACUGCAUGGAGCGCCGUUACCUUCCCGCUGGAGUGGUACCUAUUGAUCUACUCACAUUGGCAUGUCCAUAGACACCUCCAAGGUCAUGUGGCCAUUGGCAGGACUGCAUGGAGCACCGUUACCUCCCCGCUGGAGUGGUACCUAUUGAUCUACUCACAUUGGCAUGUCCAUAGACACCUCCAAGGUCAUGUGGCCAUUGGCAGGACUGCAUGGAGCGCCGUUACCUUCCCGCUGGAGUGGUACCUAUUGAUCUACUCACAUUGGCAUGUCCGUAGACACCUCCAAGGUCAUGUGGCCAUUGGCAGGACUGCAUGGAACGCUGUUACCUUCCCGCUGGAGUGGUACCUAUUGAUCUACUCACAUUGGCAUGUCCAUAGACACCUCCAAGGUCAUGUGGCCAUUGGCAGGACUGCAUGGAGCACCGUUACCUCCCCGCUGGAGUGGUACCUAUUGAUCUACUCACAUUGGCAUGUCCAUAGACACCUCCAAGGUCAUGUGGCCAUUGGCAGGACUGCAUGGAGCGCCGUUACCUUCCCGCUGGAGUGGUACCUAUUGAUCUACUCACAUUGGCAUGUCCGUAGACACCUCCAAGGUCAUGUGGCCAUUGGCAGGACUGCAUGGAACGCUGUUACCUUCCCGCUGGAGUGGUACCUAUUGAUCUACUCACAUUGGCAUGUCCGUAGACACCUCCAAGGUCAUGUGGCCAUUGGCAUGACUGCAUGGAACACUGUUACCUUCCCGCUGGAGUGGUACCUAUUGAUCUACUCACAUUGGCAUGUCCGUAGACACCUCCAAGGUCAUGUGGCCAUUGGCAUGACUGCAUGGAACACUGUUACCUUCCCGCUGGAGUGGUACCUAUUGAUCUACUCACAUUUGCAUGUCCGUAGACACCUCCAAGGUCAUGUGGCCAUUGGCAUUACUGCAUGGAACACUGUUACCUUCCCGCUGGAGUGGUACCUAUCGAUCUACUCACAUUGGCAUGUUUUUGAACUGCUAAGUUGGCAGAAGCUGGGGCUAAUAGCGGAAACUCACUCUGCUCCCCGGAUUCGAGCCUGUCAACCUUUCGGUCAGCAAGUUCAGCAGCUCAGCGGUUUAACCCAAGGUCCCAAAGUGCAUCUACACUGUAGAAUUAAUACAGCUUGA
rnacentral:lncRNA from 1 species